CUCUCUCCACUGACCUGACUCUAUGAAUGAAUUAUCCUCCUGGUUUGCUGGAAUUUGUUUCCCCAUUUUAAUAUUGAAAAUUUUCGGAUGGAAUGCGCACUGGUAAACUUCAAAAUGUGAUUUUUAUUAAGGAAUCGCUUUCAUUUAUUAUUGUUUUUUCUGCUGCGGAAUAAUUGCUAGACCACUGCUAAGUGAAUAUUUGCCCUUUGUAGUUAUAUUUGGAAUUCGAGAAGUAAAAAUCUUGUGGAUUUUGCUUUGAAUUAUCUCCCAAAGAGGAAAGAGAAUCAUUAAUAUGUCCCCUUUCGCCAGGCUUUUAACACUCAGUUCUGAAUCUGAAUUGUCUUGAAAGGAAAGAGAAGAAACUGUCAGGCAUGUAUGAUGACUGACCUAGAAAACGAUUCAACCCAGAAAAUAGGUUUGGCAGAAGAAUUGUCUUGAAAAAUUUUGAGAAUUUUUUUUUUGAAAACAUUGCUAAAAAAUUUCCUUUCCUUAUUUUGUUCAUCAAGACUGAGGAGUCCAAAAAUAACUUCUCCAUGAUUACGUUGAUUUUUGUUUUCCCUUUUCUUGUUGUUGUCAAAAAACCGACCAUAGGUUUUGAAAAAUUGUUUUCUUCUAGUUUUGGGUUUACCGCUGAAGAAAGCAGUCUUUGGAUUUUCUAUAAUUACAAACCGAUAGCAAACCCAGAACCAGUCAAUUUGAUUUGUCAAGAAGCGAUAUGGUAUAGAAAUGAGUUUAUUUAUGGAAUAUUUAUAAUUUGGAGGUGUGGCAAUAAGAUGUAUGUUUGAUGCAGCUGUGGUUCUUGUGGGUACGAACUAAAGCUUUGCUCCUCUAAUCGGAACACAAAGAAUAUAGGCUCCAAAUAUGGGAAAAACAUAAAACGCGGCGUCAUAUCAUUUCUCCAAGUCGAUGAGAGUAGAUUUACCCUGGUUGAUGAGUUCAAAUGUAUACCCUACUUCAUCUCCAGGCACUCUUGGGGUUUGUUCUGCCACAGAACCAAACUUCUUUGCCGUAAGUGUAGCAACCAUGUUGGCAAUGCUUAUGUCAGGAAGUCUCCUUACCCACUUGUGUUGGAUGAAUCGGAUUCUGCCCCAGCCCCAGCCACAGCCACCACUGACAUCUCCACUUGUAGAAAAUAUGACAUUCGACUCCGUGCCCUGCAGCCCUCAUCUUCUGAGCCCUCUGCCAUUCCGCUUCUCACCUGAUCUGCAGAUUCAAACCAAGAAUAUUCUUAUGAGGGACUGUAUAGCAAUUGAGUCCUUUGUUUUUGGUCUUGGUUUUCUGCUCUUUUGUAUUACUAGAUAGAUGGUGAGUCGGUGACUUGUAAAUAUCAGUUUCCCAGACUGGAUUAUCAAAGUUUAUUUUUACACUUCCAGUAACUUAUAAAUAACGCGGUCGAUGUGAUUUCUUGUCACUCAGAUUGUGCCCUUGUUCUCACUGUUCUCUGUUAGCCAUGACCAUAAUCACAACAUAUCCUUCUAACCAUUAUUCACAUAUCUUGCCCACUUUCCUAUUCAAUUUGGAAACUGGAAAUGUUCAAAAUUCAACAAACUUUCCUUCGCCACGCCCACAGUUUAUGUCAUUGGAUCGGAGUUUUGGGUAAAAAUAACCCAUUUAUUAAAAAAAUAUAACAUCUAACUAUUUUUUGAAACUUAUAUUCAAAUUAACUUUUUUGGUGCCACGUAGGCGUCAUGUAAUUAAAAAAUAUAUAUUUUUUAUUAUUUUAGUUAAAGCGUUAGUUGGUAACUGAGGCUUCAUUUUAAAACUAAAACUAUAAUUAUCAAUUGAGACUUCAUUUUUGAACUAAAAUCGCAAUUGUCAAUUGAGGUUUUAGUUAGUUUUUUUUAAAAAAUUAAAAUUUUAAUUAAAAAUUAUUAAAUUAUAAUUUAUAAUUGAAAAUUUAAAAAUAUAUUUAAAUAAUAAAUUAUUUAUAUUUAAUCUUAAGAAUCUAGUAUUACUUCAACAAAUAUCAAUUGAUAAAUAAAAGAUAUUAUAAAUAAAUAUUUUAUUUAUUGAUAAAUUAAUAAUCUUAAAAUAAUAAACUUAUAUAACAUAUAAAUAAUAUAUAAAAUUGUAUAAUUUAUUAAUUUAUGAUACUUAAUUUGUUAUUUUUUAAGAUAUUAAUUUCUUUGCAUUAUGAUAAAUUUAUCUUUAUUGAAAUAAUAAUAUACUUUUAAGCCGGAGUUGUUAAUUGAGAUUUCAAUUAUAAUUUUUUUUUACUUUCAAAUUUAAUUAAAAACUAUUAAAUUAUAAUUUAUUAUUGAAAUUAAAGAUAUAUACUUUAAUAAUAAAUUAUUUAUUUACUAAUUGAGAUUUCAAUUAUAAUCUUUUUUUUACUUUCAAAUUUAAUUAAAAACUAUUAAAUUAUAAUUUAUUAUUGAAAUUUAAAAUAUAUACUUUAAUAAUAAAUUAUUUAUAUUUAAAUUAUAUUUAAAAUGAAGUUUCAAUUACCAACUAAGACUUUAGUUUAAAAAUGAAACCUCACUUAACAAUUAGACUUUAGUUCAAAAAUGCAAUUGAGACUUUAACUAAAAUAAUAAAAAAAAAUAUUUUUUUUAAUGAUAUGACGCUUGUGUGACAGCAAAUAGGUCAAUUUGAGUAUAAGUUUUAAAAAGUGGUUAGAUUUUAUAUUUUUUUUAAUAAAGGGGUCAUUUUGACCCAAAUCUCAUUAGAUUAGGCAUGCGGACGUGGGCGUUGAGUAUGCUUUUACGUGCGAGUGUCUUGCUACCUUAGGCACGAAACCCUCCUCUUCCACUCAUUUUGUUGCGGAAGGAGGCCAGGCCAUUCUUAUUCAAACAAAUUAGCUGGGAACUUUGAAAUCUUAAACCGUCGUAGAUAUGUGAUAAACUAGUACACCUUGUAUGAGAUAAUCUAAUCCUGAUUAUUGCUAACAUUGUCAAUUUUAAUCAGCUCCGGCCUGUAUGUUGUUGGACCAGUUGCCCACAAACAUGUAGUUCACAUGGAAGUGGGUCCUGAGGUCAGUACCUGUUACAUCUCCAACCACAAAAGAAUUAACUAAAGAUCAAAUGUGCAAUACGAGUACAAUCAGUAACGGGGCAGUGCACUGACUCAAUUAAAUUAUAUGGUUUGACCAUUAAACACUUUGAAUUUCUUCAUCACGUAAUCCAGUGCACUGACUCAAUUAAAAUUUACAAGAAAAUUAUAUGGUUUAACCAUUAAACACUUUGAAUUUCUUCAUCACGUAAUCCAAAAGUCUACGUUCUCACAGUAUUUCUCAACUUCAUUCAAUUCCCUCCUUCCCCAUUUUAAUACCCUCCUCCUCCUCCUCUCUCUCUCUCUCUCUCUCUCUUUCUCUCUCUCUCUCCAUGGAGUCUCCCAGCACCAUCAGAGUUGCCACUUCUCUCUGCUAUUUUUGCGUGCUUUUAUCUUUUACUACCACAGUGAUCGACCCUGUUGUUGCUUUGGAAAAUUGCAAAUUUCCAGCAAUCUUUAACUUAGGAGACUCCAAUUCAGACACAGGUGGAUAUGCUGCUGCCUUCUCUCAACCUCCCUGGCCUUAUGGGAGGACCUUUUUCCGCAUGCCAGCAGGCAGAUUCUCAGAUGGUCGCCUCAUGAUUGAUUUCAUUGGUACCAUUUACCUUCUCUUUAAACCUAUUUUCUGCAUAUCUACCUCUCAUUGGCCAAGAGCCAGUGUUUAUAAAAUCGGUACAGGGGAUAAGAAAAGCCAAAUUCAGACAUUCAUUUUUUAUUUCAUUUUCCAUCAAAAUUAGAAAAAGGGCUAGGAAAUGUACUGUUUUAGUCUAGGACUAACCAAAACUUGGCAGCAUUAUUGACUUGGUCAAAAUUUACAUGGUUUCAGCCAACAGUUUUGGUCUACCAUUUCUCAGUGCUUAUCUUAAUUCUCUGGGGUCCAAUUACACAAAUGGUGCAAACUUUGCCACGGCUGCUUCUACAAUCCGACUACCGACUAGCAUAAUACCUGCAGGUGGGCUCAGUCCAUUCUACCUGGACUUGCAAUACGAUCAGUUUGUGCAAUUCAAGUCCAGAACACUAAAGAUAAGGAAACGAGGUAAAUGAUAAUUUAACAUUAAUAGACGUUUUGUAGUGCAUAGCUAUAUAAAUGAUAUUUUUCUAAGUGGCUUUUAAUGAUUUUUAGGUGGGGUGUACAAGGACUUAAUGCCCAAGGAGGAGUAUUUUCCCAAAGCUCUAUACACGUUGGACAUCGGUCAGAAUGAUCUUGGUGAAGGGUUCUUUGCUAACAAGUCAAUCCAGGAAGUCAAUGCAACUGUCCCUGAUAUAAUCAAUGGUUUCUCCACCAAUGUCAGGGUAAUCCUUAGAUUAGGGACUUCGAUUUAAUGUAUGUUUUGAAGCAUUUCCUUUCUGGNNNNNNNNNNNNNNNNNNNNNNNNNNNNNNNNNNNNNNNNNNNNNNNNNNNNNNNNNNNNNNNNNNNNNNNNNNNNNNNNNNNNNNNNNNNNNNNNNNNNUAUGUUUUGAAGCAUUUCCUUUCUGGGUCUCGUUUUUUCAUAGCUUUUUUCUCUCUGUCACAACUUAUUGCAUAGUACUGAGACUAUGUACAUGAAUGAAUCACAUGAUGAUGCAGCGUAUUUACAAGUCGGGAGCAAGAUCAUUCUGGAUUCACAACACAGGACCCAUCGGCUGCCUCGCCUAUAUCUUGGUCAAUUUUCAGGCAGCUCAAAGGGACAGCGCCGGUUGUUCAAAGCCUCACAAUGAAGUGGCUCAGUACUUCAACUACAAGUUGAAGGAGGCUGUUGCCCAACUCCGGAAGGACUUUCCUUUAGCUGCAAUUACAUAUGUCGAUGUCUACUCUGUCAAGUAUUCCCUCUUUAGCCAACCCAAGAAAUAUGGUAAGCCAUAUGAUGAUAUAUAUAUAGGAAAAUAGUAGCUCGUGUCAUCUAACUUUAACUCAUUUAUGCACCAUGUUGUUAACAAAUGAUGCUUUUCUCAUAAUCUGCAGGGUUUGAGCUUCCACUUGUGGUUUGCUGUGGCUAUGGAGGUGAGUACAACUAUGGCAAUGAUGCCAGCUGUGGUAGUACCAUUACUGUUAAUGGUAGCCAAAUUUUUGUGGGAUCAUGUGAGCGCCCUUCACUUCGAGUGAAUUGGGAUGGAGUUCACUACACUGAGGCAGCUAACAAAUUUGUUUUUGAUCAAAUCUCCAGUGGAGCAUUUUCAGAUCCGCCUCUGCCCUUAAAAAUGGCAUGUCAUAGGAACGCUUCAUAUUGAAGGCAGACCAACGUGCACUUCUGUUGGUAUUAUCAUUAAUGUAUGCUCCUGGUUCUGGGUAAUAAGUAAUAAGCAUCAUGCAUUGAUCAAAGGGUAGCCUAAAAUGUACCUUUCUUGUAUGUAAUAAGCAUCAUGCAUUGAUCAAAGGGUAGCCUAAAAUGUACCCUUCUUGUAUGUAAUAAGCAUCUAACUCAACAGAGUUAGUGUACUCAUGCUCUCUAAUAUAUUUGGCAAAGCCCAUGUCCUUUAUUGCAGAACCUGCACUUCAUUUGUUAAAUUAUUAUUGUUUCACAGACAUGAAUAAGCCUGUUUUAAAAGGAAAUUGAGAGCAAAAAUGAAAAUAAAAAUAAAAAUGGGGCUGUGUAGAAAGGUGGGUGACGUGGGUCUAAUUUAAUAGUGACUUGAAAAUAUCCGAAGUAUGAUUCUUUGAAGAUUGAAGAAUCUUCAUAGGGUGUUUACUUCAAAAUUACACCUACCUUAAAAGUUUCCUUGAAUUGAAUUUAGCACAAUAGACACUCAUCAAUUAAACCAACCAAGAUAUUGUUUUGAUACAUUUUUGGUUGUCUAUUUUUAAAAAUAUAAAAAUAAUAAUAAUAAUAACUUUUAUCCAAAAAUGAUACUGAAAAAAAAAAACUUUAAAAUUUAAAAAUGAAAGAUAAAUUCAUACAUUUUAUAUAAUAUUUACUAAUUUUUUUAUUAUUUUUAUUUUAAAAAUAGAAAAUAUAGAAUGAAUAUUGUAAUUAACACUAAAUUUUAAUAUUUUUGAUAUGCAUUAUGGGGAAAUGGACAUUGAUCAUUUUCUAGAAUGUAGAAUUUUUAUUUGCAUAAUGAAGCAUAAGUUUUUGUUUGUAUGUUAGCCAAUACCUUACUUGUGGUGGAAAAGCCAAAGACACACAUGACAAAUUUCUAUGAAACGUUAUCUUCCAAGUUGCGGGUCCAAAUAUGCAUGCUGUGUCGUGUCGAGAAGAAUUAGCCAGGAGGCAACAUGUGAGCUCCUACAAAGUCAAGGCCUCCAUGAACGUGUUUGGAAUUUAUUUUCUCUAAUAUUAUAUAUAAAUUCAAAUUUUAGAUCUGACAAAAUCUUCAAGCUCGUGAAAGAAACUAAUAAAAACGAAUAUGAGACUAGAGUUAACUGCAAGGCUUUUAAGGUCAUGUUUGUCUGAUUUCAUGCAGCCUUAUCUUACUGCAAAGAUCACACGUAAGUUUGAAGAAAUUUUUGUAACUGAGCUUAAAUAUCACCGAGUCCUAGAAAUUAAAUUCAGUGGAAAAGUCCACCUUGUCACAGUAUACAAAUUUUUGUUCUCCCUUUUUGGAUAAUUACCCUUACAGGUAGGCUAGAAAAAAUAUGAUUGAUAAGGAUGGGUAUAUUUAAUAAUUCUUCUUAAGGGUAGGGUGAAAUUAAGAUAAUUUUUCUAAAGACCUUAUUUUUUUUGAAUGUCAAUACUACCCUUAAUAAGUGAAAAUCAACAGCAAAAUGUAAGAUUUUUGUCGAUAUUGAAGAAGAAAAAAAUCCAACACUUCAGGUUAUGAUCUGAAACCCUUUUCACAAAGCUUGUAUUUUUGUGUGAAUCUAGUAAGAAAUCCAUUAAAGGUAAGAUUUUUUUAUAAAAAAAAAAAAGCUGAAAAAAACAAAAAUACGUCAGUUUAUGCAAAUAAAUAAAUAAAUAAAUAAGUAAUUUAAAAUUUGGAUUGAAGGAACGAACUGUUAAUAAUUUUAACAAUGUAGAUCUAAAAUAUUAUAUCUGAAAUAUUGAAUGAGGUUUUGAGAAAGAAAUUACAUUUUUUGUGUUGAAUUUUUUUAUUUUAUUUUGGUCAUAUUGAAGAUGUGUUUUUAUUUUUAAUUUAUUUUUUGGGUGAGUUAUUUGAUAUGAUUAUUAUUGAUUUCCAUUAAAAAUGUUUGCACUUUAGUUUUGUUGUUGAGACUUGCUUGACAUGAGAGAAGAAAAAAAUUUCUCAAUUGUUUCAUGCUUUUUUGGAACCACUUUGUUUGAGUAUUUAUGAACAUAUUUGGAUUUUUAUUGAAAACUGAAAAUUAUAAUCAAUUGAGACAUAUUUUAUAUAAUAAAGAACAAUAUUUUUUGUAUAUUAGACAUGUAUAUGCCAAAAAACUCAUAAUUGCCCUAUUUUUAUAUAAAAAAUUAAUUUUAUAGAUUUUUUUUAUACAUCGACAACUUUAUGUAUUGAAAUUACAAUAGUGUAUUUUUGUUAUCUUUUUAUAAUUUUGGCUUGCAAAGAUGCUUUAUGAUAGGAAUACAACAUGAUAGCCUAGAAAUGCUAGUUUAGUAAAAAACGAAUUCAAUAUUUUGUCAUUUUGGUAUAUUAUAAUGUAUCGUAAUGUUAAUAUUUUUUUCAUUAUAACUAUAUUGCAUUUGUAUUGUAAUUAUACUUUAUAAUUGUCAGGAGAGAAGGAGAGAAGAUGUACUUCUCAAUUGGUAAAUGGACUUGAAAAAUUCAGGGUAAAUUGGUCUAAUAAAAAUGUAAGACCUUCAUAAGAAUUAUCAAACCUACCAACGUUUUUCAGUAAUUUUUUUCCCCAAUCGGGUAAUUUUCCCUUCCCUUUUCUUCUUGUUUUCAAAAAACCAACCAUAGGUUAUGAAAAUUUGUUUUUUUCUAGUUUUGGGUUUACCGCUGAAGAAAGAGUCUUUGGAUUUUCUAUAAUUACAAACCGAUAGCAAACCCAGAACCAGUCAAUUUGAUUUGUCAAGAAGCGAUAUGGUAUGGAAAUGAGUUUAUUUAUGGAAUAUUUGUAUUUUGGAGGUGUGGCAAUAAGAUGUAUGUUUGAUGCAGCUGUGGUUCUUGUGGGUACGAACUAAAGCUUUGCGAUCCUCUAAUCGGAACACAAAGAAUAUAGGCUCCAAAUAUGGGAAAAACAUAAAACGCGGCGUCAUAUCAUUUCUCCAAGUUGAUGAGAGUGGCUUUACCCUGGUUGAUGAGUUCAAAUGUAUACCCUACUUCAUCUCCAGGCACUCUUGGGGUUUGUUCUGCCACAGAACCACUUCUUUGCCGUAAGUGUGGCAACCAUGUUGGCAAUGCUUAUGUCAGGAAGUCUCCUUACCCACUUGUGUUCGAUGAAUCGGAUUCUGCCCCAGCCACAGCCACCACUGACAUCUCCACUUGUAGAAAAUAUGACAUUCGACUCCGUGCCCUGCAGCCCUCAUCUUCUGAGCCCUCUGCCAUUCCGCUUCUCACCUGAUCUGCAGAAUCAAACCAAGAAUAUUCUUAUGAGAGGGACUGUAUAGCAAUUGAGUCCUUUGUUUUGGUCUUGGCUUUUUGCUCUUUUGUAUUACUAGAUAGAUGGUGAGUCAGUGACUUGUAAAUAUCAGUUUCCAAGACUGGAUUAUCGAAGUUUUUUAUACUUCCAGUAACUUACAAAUAACACGGUCGAUGUAAUUUCUUGUUCUCACUGUUCUCUGUUAGCCAUGACCAUAAUCACAACAUAUCCUUCUAACUAUGAUCCACAUAUCCUCUUUCCUAUUCAAUUUGGAAACUGGAAAAGUUCAAAAUUCAACGAACUUUCCUUCGCCACGCCCACAGUUUAGGUCAUUGGAUUAGGCAUGCGGACGUGGGCGUUGAGUAUGCUUUUGCGCGCGAGUGUCUUGCUACCUUAGACACGAACCCCUCCUCUUCCACUCAUUUUGUUGCGGAAGGAGGCCAGGCCAUUCUUAUUCAAACAAAUUAGCUGGGAACUUUGAAAUCUUAAACCGUCGUAGAUAUGUGAUAAACUAGUACACCUUGUAUGAGAUAAUCUAAUCCUGAUUAUUGCUAACAUUGUCAAUUUUAAUCAGCUCCGGCCUGUAUGUUGUUGGACCAGUUGCCCACAAACAUGUAGUUCACAUGGAAGUGGGUCCUGAGGUCAGUACCUGUUACAUCUCCAACCACAAAAGAAUUAACUAAAGAUCAAAUGUGCAAUACGAGUACAAUCAGUAAUGGGGCAGUGCACUGACUCAAUUAAAUUAUAUGGUUUGACCAUUAAACACUUUGAAUUUCUUCAUCACGUAAUCCAAAAGUCUACGUCCUCCUCCUCCUCCUCCCUCUCUCUCUCUCUCUCUCUCUCUCUCUCCAUGGAGUCUCCCAGCACCACCAGACUUGCCACUUCUCUCUGCUGUAUUUGCGUGCUUUUAUCUUUUACUACCACAGUGAUCAACCCUGUUGUUGCUUUGGAAAAUUGCAAAUUUCCAGCAAUCUUUAACUUAGGAGCCUCCAGUUCAGACACAGGUGGAUAUGCUGCUGCCUUCUCUCAACCUCCCUGGCCUUAUGGGAGGACCUUUUUCCGCAUGCCAGCAGGCAGAUUCUCAGAUGGUCGCCUCAUGAUUGAUUUCAUUGGUACCAUUUACCUUCUCUUUAAACCUAUUUUCUGCAUAUCUACCUCUCAUUGGCCAAGAGCCAGUGUUUAUAAAAUCGGUACAGGGGACAAGAAAAGCCAAAUUCAGACAUUCAUUUUUAAUUUCAUUUUCCAUCAAAAUUAGAAAAAGGGCUAGGAAAUGCACUGGUUUAGUCUAGGACUAACCGAAACUUGGCAGCAUUAUUGACUUGGGCAAAAUUUACAUGGUUUCAGCCA
rnacentral:lncRNA from 1 species